rnacentral:pre_miRNA from 1 species
CAGUGCUGUGGGUCCCAGAAAGCAGAGCUCUGCAUAUCUCCACCAUGGCCUGGACCCCUCUUCUGCUUCCCCUCCUCACUCUCUGCACAGGUGC